rnacentral:lncRNA from 1 species
AUUUUGUAAAGUCAUAUUCCAAAUAGAUUAAGAAAAAGUUUGCUUUUUCUGAGAACAAGUAAAUUGUUCUUGUUACUAAUAUGUUUCUAAGCCAAUUCUGUUAGUGGAGCGAAUAGAAAUAAACUCACAGACAUAAAUCUGUGCUUCCCGUGUUUCAUAUGACGGUCCCAAAAUAAUGGAUAUCAUACAUUACCUCCCUCGAGUUUCGGGGUUAUGUAAGAUACGGUCAUUGGGUCAUUUCGUAGAAAACCGAGGUCGGAGAUCAAAUGAAAAGCACGAACUCAUCCAACGAGUUGGUUUUAAAAGAGACGAUAGUACUUCCCCUCAAAGUUAUAAACAGAAAAAAAAAAAAUCAUUUGUCAAUGCAACUUGGGUGGCGGUGGUGCCUCAAGAAGAAGAAGAGGAGGAGGAGG